rnacentral:lncRNA from 1 species
CCCACGUGUUCCAUCCAGAGCCCUUUAUUGCAAACCCCGCCCCCCUCCCUCCAUCCCGGCUUCUGAUUGGCCGAGGGGAGGGGGUGGCUCAGCUCCCAUUGGUCAGUGAUGGGGGGUGGGUGGGGUCAGGGCUCUCCGUGGGGCAGCCCCGGCUCAAGUCCGUCUGUGGGGCUGGAUGUGGGUCCGUCCGUGGGUCCGUCCGUGGGUCGGUCUAUGGGUCACGGGGGCGAGUGGGGGCCCUCCCCCCCCCCCCUCACUCCUCGCCGUGGGUCGGUCCGUGGGUCCAUCCGUGGGUCCAUGGGUCAAUCUAUGGGUCAAUCUAUGGGUCCAUCUAUGGGUCAGUCUAUGGGUCUGUGGGUCCAUCUAUGGGUCAAGCCCAUGGGUCCAUCCAUGGGUCAGUCUAUGGGUCAGUCUAUGGGUCAAGUCCAUGAGUCCAUCCGUGGAUCCAUCCAUGGGUCAAUCUAUGGGUCCAUCAAUGGGUCAAGCCCAUGGGUCCAUCCAUGAGUCAGUCCAUGGGUCACCAGGGGGCGAUAUGUGGGUCAGUCCAUGGCUCAGUCUAUGGGUCCAUGGGUUCAUCAACGGUUUGGUCCAUGGGUCCAUCAAUGGGUCCGUGGGUCCAUCCAUGGGUCAAUCCAGUCUAUGGGUCCAUGGCUCCAUCAAUGUUUUGGUCCAUGUGUCCAUCCGUGGGUCCAUCCAUGGGUCGUUGGGGGGGCGAUAUGUGGGUCAAUCUAUGGGUCAGUCUAUGGGUCCAUGAGUCCAUCAACGGUUCGCUUCAUGGGUCAAUCUAUGGGUCCAUGGGUCCAUCCAUGGGUCAGUCUAUGGGUCCGUGGGUCCAUCUAUGGGUCAAUCUAUGGGUCAGUCUAUGGGUCCAUGGGUCCAUCCAUGGGUCAAUCCAGUCUAUGGGUCCAUGGCUCCAUCAACGUUCUGGUCCAUGUGUCCAUCCGUGGGUCCAUCCGUGGGUCGUUGGGGGGCGAUAUGUGGGUCAAUCUAUGGGUCAGUCUAUGGGUCCAUGGGUCCAUCCAUGGGUCAAUCCAGUCUAUGGGUCCAUGGCUCCAUCAACGUUCUGGUCCAUGUGUCCAUCCGUGGGUCCAUCCGUGGGUCGUUGGGGGGCGAUAUGUGGGUCAAUCUAUGGGUCAGUCUACGGGUCCAUCCAUGGGUCAGCCCAGUCUAUGGGUCCAUGGGUCCAUCAAUGGUUUGGUCCAUGGAUCCAUCUAUGGGUCAAUCUAUGGGUCAAUCUAUGGGUCAGUCUAUGGGUCAAUCUAUGGGUCAAGUCCAUGAGUCCAUCCAUGGGUCCAUCCAUGGGUCAAUCUAUGGGUCUGUGGGUCCAUCCAUGGGUCAAUCUAUGGGUCAAGUCCAUGAGUCCAUCCAUGGGUCCAUCCAUGGGUCAAUCUAUGGGUCUGUGGGUCCAUCCAUGGGUCAAUCUAUGGGUCAAGCCCAUGAGUCCAUCCAUGGUUCAAUCUAUGGGUCAAUCUAUGGGUCCAUGUGUCCAUCCGUGGGUCGCUCCGUGGGUCGGGGUUGGUUGUGGGUUGGUUGUGGGGUGGAGGGGUGACAUGUGGGGCGAUGUGUGGGGCGACGUGUGGGGCGCCGUGUGGGUCCAGCCCCCCACGUCUCACUCCUCGCCGUGGGGCCAGCGCAGGCACCACUCGCAGGCGUUUUGGAACAUGCGCAACCAGGGGGCCGGGGUUGGGGACCCCCGCGCCGUGGGGCAGGAGGACCCCGACCCCCCACCCCCACCCCGCGCCGUGGGGCGGCCCCACGCCGGGGGCCACCAGCCCCACUGCCAUGGGGUGACCCCCCGCUCGGGGUGGGGCAUGAGGGCCAGGUGGCGGCCGCAGGGGGAGCAGAGGGCGGCGGCGCCCCCCCCCGAGCCGUUGGGGUUCAG